GAUUCGAACAACAGCGACAGCACGAUGCCGAGCGUGGUCAGCACCGCGAUCAGAGAAGCCAGCAGCAGCACCGCCAUCGUCAGCCGCUCGACCCGGGUGCGGGCGCGGAACUGCGGCGACACGCGGCUGUAGGCGAAGGCGCCGCCGGCGAAGGCGACGAUCAGCGCGAUGGCGAGACCUAUCCAGCCAUAAUAAGCGAUCGCCCGCUCGUAGACGGGGGCAAGAACGAGCGCCUGCGCCUGAAAUGCGGUCUCGGCCUGGCCGGUCGCGAGCGCAUAGGCUUCACGCAGAAUCGCCUGGCGCU
rnacentral:misc_RNA from 1 species